rnacentral:rRNA from 1 species
GACGAACGCUGGCGGCGUGCUUAACACAUGCAAGUCGAACGGAAAGGCCCUGCUUUUGUGGGGUGCUCGAGUGGCGAACGGGUGAGUAACACGUGAGUAACCUGCCCUUGACUUUGGGAUAACUUCAGGAAACUGGGGCUAAUACCGGAUAGGAGCUCCUGCUGCAUGGUGGGGGUUGGAAAGUUUCGGCGGUUGGGGAUGGACUCGCGGCUUAUCAGCUUGUUGGUGGGGUAGUGGCUUACCAAGGCUUUGACGGGUAGCCGGCCUGAGAGGGUGACCGGCCACAUUGGGACUGAGAUACGGCCCAGACUCCUACGGGAGGCAGCAGUGGGGAAUAUUGCACAAUGGGCGGAAGCCUGAUGCAGCAACGCCGCGUGCGGGAUGACGGCCUUCGGGUUGUAAACCGCUUUCGCCUGUGACGAAGCGUGAGUGACGGUAAUGGGUAAAGAAGCACGAGCUAGCUACGUG